rnacentral:rRNA from 1 species
UGGGGAAUCUUGCGCAAUGGGCGAAAGCCUGACGCAGCCAUGCCGCGUGAAUGAUGAAGGUCUUAGGAUUGUAAAAUUCUUUCACCGGGGACGAUAAUGACGGUACCCGGAGAAGAAGCCCCGGCUACUUCGUGC